CCUUCGAUAGCACAGUUGGUAGAGCGGGGGACUGUAGAUUUAUAAUUGGGAUCCCUAGGUCGCUGGUUCGAAUCCGGCUCGAAGGA
rfam:Nematostella vectensis strain CH2 x CH6 NEMVEscaffold_285_Cont22394, whole genome shotgun sequence.